rnacentral:rRNA from 1 species
UACACUCCUGCGGGAGGCAGCAGUGGGGAAUUUUGGACAAUGGGCGAAAGCCUGAUCCAGCAAUGCCGCGUGAGUGAAGAAGGCCUUCGGGUUGUAAAGCUCUUUUGUCAGGGAAGAAACGGUGAAAGCUAAUAUCUUUUGCUAAUGACGGUACCUGAAGAAUAAGCACCGGCUAACUACGUGCCAGCAGCCGCGGUAAUACGUAGGGUGCAAGCGUUAAUCGGAAUUACGGGGCGUAAAGCGUGCGCAGGCGGUUUUGUAAGUCUGAUGUGAAAUCCCCGGGCUCAACCUGGGAAUUGCAUUGGAGACGGCAAGGCUAGAAUCUGGCAGAGGGGGGUAGAAUUCCACGUGUAGCAGUGAAAUGCGUAGAUAUGUGGAGGAACACCGAUGGCGAAGGCAGCCCCCUGGGUCAAGAUUGACGCUCAUGCACGAAAGCGUGGGGAGCAAACAGGAUUAGAUACCCGAGUAGUCC